GACGAACGCUGGCGGCGUGCUUAACACAUGCAAGUCGAACGGAAAGGCCCUGCUUUUGUGGGGUGCUCGAGUGGCGAACGGGUGAGUAACACGUGAGUAACCUGCCCUUGACUUUGGGAUAACUUCAGGAAACUGGGGCUAAUACCGGAUAGGAGCUCCUGCUGCAUGGUGGGGGUUGGAAAGUUUCGGCGGUUGGGGAUGGACUCGCGGCUUAUCAGCUUGUUGGUGGGGUAGUGGCUUACCAAGGCUUUGACGGGUAGCCGGCCUGAGAGGGUGACCGGCCACAUUGGGACUGAGAUACGGCCCAGACUCCUACGGGAGGCAGCAGUGGGGAAUAUUGCACAAUGGGCGGAAGCCUGAUGCAGCAACGCCGCGUGCGGGAUGACGGCCUUCGGGUUGUAAACCGCUUUCGCCUGUGACGAAGCGUGAGUGACGGUAAUGGGUAAAGAAGCACAGGCUAACUACGUG
rnacentral:rRNA from 1 species